AUACAAUUAGCUCAUUGGUAGAGCAAUAGGUUGUUAACCUAUGUGAAGAAGGUUCGAUUCCUUCAUUGUAGACCA
rnacentral:tRNA from 1 species